UACGAAGGGUGCAAACGUUGCUCGGAAUUAUUGGGGCGUAAAGCGCACGUAGGCGGCUUAGCAAGUUGGAUGUGAAAGCCCUCGGCUUAACCAAGGAAGUGCAUCCAAAACUGCUGAGCUUGAGUAGUUAAGAGGAUCGCGGAAUUCCCGGUGUAGAGGUGAAAUUCGUAGAUAUCUGGAGGAACACCGGUGGCGAAGGCGGCAUCCUGGACCAACACUGACACUGAGGAGCGAAAGCCAGGGGAGCAAACGGG
rnacentral:rRNA from 1 species